CAUCAUCCGGAUGCCCACACUGGUGGCAA
rnacentral:sRNA from 1 species